AUUGGCCCUAGAGGCAUUGCAAGUGUGUUGUUGUGUCACAUCACAACACUGGGUAGCAGAGAGGAGGGAGGCUGUGUCUAUGUUCAGUGUUCUGACCUAUGAACAGCUGAAUGAUUAGUAACCUAACAUU